rnacentral:rRNA from 1 species
UACGAAGGGGGCUAGCGUUGCUCGGAAUCACUGGGCGUAAAGGGUGCGUAGGCGGGUCUUUAAGUCAGGGGUGAAAUCCUGGAGCUCAACUCCAGAACUGCCUUUGAUACUGAAGAUCUUGAGUUCGGGAGAGGUGAGUGGAACUGCGAGUGUAGAGGUGAAAGUUCGUAGAUAUUCGCGAAGAACACCAGUGGCGAAGGCGGCUCACUGGCCCGGUACUGACGCUGAGGUGCGAAAGCGUGGGGAGCAAACAGG